rnacentral:rRNA from 1 species
GCAUAUCAAUAAGCGGAGGAAAAGAAAAUAACAAUGAUUCCUCUAGUAACUGCGAGUGAAGAGGGAAAAGCUCAAAUUUUAAAUCUGUUAGGUUUACCUAACCGAGUUGUAAUUUGAAGAAGCGUUUUCUGCGAUUUUGGUUAGUCCAAAUCCUUUGGAAUAAGGUAUCAUGGAGGGUGAGAAUCCCGUUCGGUUAACCAAAGCGCUUUACGAUACGCUUUCAAAGAGUCAAGUUGUUUGGGAUUGCAGCUUAAAAUGGGAGGUAAAUUUCUCCUAAGGCUAAAUACUGGCGAGAGACCGAUAGCGAACAAGUACCGUGAGGGAAAGAUGAAAAGAACUUUGAAAAGAGAGUUAAACAGUACGUGAAAUUGUUGAAAGGGAAACGAUUAAAGUCAGUCGUACCUACGAGUAAUCAACCUACUCGAGUGCGAUUUUGUGGGUAUGUUAGAGCUUAAAAACCUUCAUGCUUACAAAUUGGUGCUCUUUGGGCGUACUUUCUCGUAUGGUAGGUUAACAUCAAUUUCGAUCGUUAUAAAAUGACUGAAGGAAUGUAGCUUCGAUCUCGGUUGAAGUGUUAUAGCCUUUGGUAGAUGUAAUGAUUGGGAUUGAGGAUUGCAACGGAUACCCUCUGGGCUAUUCGUCUGAUCUCUGGAAGUUACCUUGGUGUCGAAAGCGUGCUUACGAUAUUAAGGUUGACGGCCAAUAGGUUAGAACGUGAUUAAAUUCGUUAAGGAUGUCGACGUAAGGGCUUUAAACGAC